rnacentral:rRNA from 1 species
AGUAGGGAAUCUUCCGCAAUGGGCGAAAGCCUGACGGAGCAACGCCGCGUGAGUGAUGAAGGUCUUCGGAUCGUAAAACUCUGUUAUUAGGGAAGAACAUAUGUGUAAGUAACUGUGCACAUCUUGACGGUACCUAAUCAGAAAGCCACGGCUAACUACGUGCCAGCAGCCGCGGUAAUACGUAGGUGGCAAGCGUUAUCCGGAAUUAUUGGGCGUAAAGCGCGCGUAGGCGGUUUUUUAAGUCUGAUGUGAAAGCCCACGGCUCAACCGUGGAGGGUCAUUGGAAACUGGAAAACUUGAGUGCGGAAGAGGAAAGUGGAAUUCCAUGUGUAGCGGUGAAAUGCGCAGAGAUAUGGAGGAACACCAGUGGCGAAGGCGACUUUCUGGUCUGUAACUGACGCUGAUGUGCGAAAGCGUGGGGAUCAAACAGGAUUAGAUACCCUGGUAGUCCACGCCGUAAACGAUGAGUGCUAAGUGUUAGGGGGUUUCCGCCCCUUAGUGCUGCAGCUAACGCAUUAAGCACUCCGCCUGGGGAGUACGACCGCAAGGUUGAAACUCAAAUGAAUUGACGGGGGCCCGCACAAGCGGUGGAGCAUGUGGUUUAAUUCGAAGCAACGCGAAGAACCUUACC